GAUGGAUCAACAUCUACAGGGCCGGAAAUGAGGAGUGACGCAAGACAGUAGCACAGUACUGUAUGUUACUGCCAAGGACUACUGCUAACACUUGUUUUCAUUAUUGAAAAUGGCUUUAAAUUAUAUGUGUGUUUGUGUGUGUCCCUCCCAAAAGUAAAAGCCUCCCAAAGGAAGCAGGAGACCACAGGUACGCAGACACUCACAUUUAUCUACAGUAAGGUGCUGCUCUAGUUCCUAUUUUUCUGCUCUCUGUUACCUAAUCUAAACACAGCUUUCAGGAACUUCUUUCUUUAUGUGUAAACCUGUUCUCAUGAAACCAGUGUUAAAGUUCUGCUUUCACUGCGGUCGCUCCAUGAAUCUGACCCCGGGCAGGCGCUGCAACAAGGUCUUCUACUGCUCCAGGACCUGGAAGCUCAAGUCCUGGGAAGAAAGACACAAGAAAGAGUGCGUCCAGGUGUCAGCAUCUGUUGACAGUGCCCAGAAAAGUGAUGUGUCAAAGAAGUCCCAGGGCUUUGUCUGCCAUCUUGAAAUCCAAAACAGCCCCCAGAGUGUCCAGUUCAAAUCCCAAAGAGAACUAAAGCUGUUGAGCAAGGCAGAGAAAAAGUUCUAGAGCCAAAGUCAAGUCAAUGUGAUGGAAUAUUACAGCCACAACUGAUGGAUUAAAAUUUCUGUUUCAUUAUGUCUAAUAUUGACUACCUAAUUUAACAGAACACUCCUCUUAGAUCACUGUAUGUGGUUGAAUGGUGUUGGCAGUAUUAGUGCCAUAAUAUUUCUCAUAUUUAUAUCUGUCAGAUUAUAGUAUCGGAUAACAUAACAGUCUGUUAUUAUUUUUUCACAUUCCUAUGAUAUUCCUCAGCUGACUGUGUGAGAAAUGUAAAUUAUGAAAAAAUGUUAUCUUGUCCUUUUCGGCGCUUUCACUGCAUUAUGUGGCCUUCAUUAAAAAAUUGAGACUUUA